rnacentral:rRNA from 1 species
CGGACGGGUGAGUAAUGUCUGGGAAACUGCCCGAUGGAGGGGGAUAACUACUGGAAACGGUAGCUAAUACCGCAUAACGUCGCAAGACCAAAGAGGGGACCUUCGGGCCUCCUGCCAUCGGAUGUGCCCAGAUGGGAUUAGCUAGUAGGUGGGGUAACGGCUCACCUAGGCGACGAUCCCUAGCUGGUCUGAGAGGAUGACCAGCCACACUGGAACUGAGACACGGUCCAG